UUCAAAAUUUAAACCACACCUUCUGAUACGCAUCUGACGGUUAUCUUCCAGCAAUGGCGAUACAUUAUCUUCCAGCAAAAUUCAAAUACCAAACGCCGACGUAUUAUCUUCCAGCAAUGGCGAUACAUCAACAUCUGCCGGAUACGCAUCUGACGAAUACGAAACGGCAAGCGAAACGGAAGUUGUAGAUUUGUACACAAGGGUACUCCAGUCCAAGAUCUAUACACAUACAAAUACCAACAAUCCACCAUUCAUCGAAUCUGUUCGAUACCAACGAAUUAGUGACGAGAGUUGAAAACCCUCACGUCGGCGUCAAAUUCGUUCUUGUAUCAAUGGCGUCAGAUCCGAAAACUUUUGUGUUCAGUGAUGUCUCGGGUUUUCCAGUUCUGCACGUAAUCGAUCUCGAAAGCGAAACCGAGAACCCGGGUUUAGUAGUGGUGUUGAUGAUCAUGAAGUUAUUGAUGUUGAGGAUCAUGAUGGCUGCAGUGAUUCUGAACCAACUGUUCAACAUGAAUCAGAUGAUAAGAUCAAAUGUUACGGUUCAGCAAGUCCGUUUAAAGCCGGGACACAUACUUACGUUCAUUACUCAGAUGUAUCGGAUCAAGAAGGAUAUGGGUAAGGUUUCUCCGGCAUACUCACUUAAAGCCGUUUGUUAAAAUUGAUGUGUCCGUCUCGAAUGGCAAACUUAGAAAGACAACUUACAUGGGAACAACGAUUGGGAUGGAGCCUCAAUCGAUGCUUGCUACUAUGUUCAGCGGUCGCCAUACAAUCUGCAAGGAUUCUGAUAACGUAAUCAUGUUUGGGCGAAGAGAUUGGAUGGCCGUAGACAGUGUUCUUGUUACCAAUCAAUCAGAGAUGUUAGGAAAUAAUACAGUGGUUCAUACAUCGAUGAAGUGUCUGAUGUGAAACCAGAAUCGGAUGGCAUCUCAAGCCCAUCUGAAGAACUUAGCAAUCAAAAGGAGGAUCUAGAAGAUGAUUUGAAACCUGAUCAAGUAUUUAAUCUGAAACCAGACUCGGAUGACAUCCCAAGACCAUGUGAGGGUGAGAAUUUAGUGAAAAAAGUCGAUUCUGGAGACGAUUUAAUGAGUGCAAUGAAGGAACACAAUUCUGUUGUGGUUCAAGAAGUACAUUCUGAAUACCUUCUUGAAUCAGUGGAUGAUGCUGAUAUGUUAGCUACAGCCUUUAAGAACAUGACUGAGGAAGUUGAAAUGUCUGAUGAGAUUGAAAUGUGUGAGGAAGUUGAAGAUAAGAAGACGAUUCGUUGAUUUCAGUGUGAAUUUGCUCCUCGCGAGUGUGUUUUAGCGAAACAAACAAAGAAAGACAAUGCUAAUGAGUGUUUUAGGAUGACUUACAAAAUGCGUUUGGAGAGUUCGGUGAGAUUAAGAACUUGCAUCUGAAUCUCGAUCACCAGUUUUGUGAAGGGGUAUGCGCUGAUCGAAUACGAAAACUACGAGGAAGCAGGGAAAGCUAUAACUACAAUGGACGGAGGUGAACUGCUGACUCAGACGGUCAAUGUUGAUUGGGCUUUCAGCAAAGGUCCUUUUAGAAGGAUAAAUAAUAGGAGAAUGUUGGAGUUAUGUGGUGGGGGCUCUCAUAUCUCUUGGGAAGACUGCUAUGGAAGGAGUAAACGGUACUGUCUUUGCUUAUGUUGUGACAAGCAGUGGGAAGACAAAUACAAUGCAUGCAACUAUUGGCGUUUUAUUAGUUAUUUGGAUUUUGGAAGACUUCAUUAGGUAUGUGAACAACUAUUAACAUACCAGAAUUAUGUUGUUGCUGCUAAUAUCAGUAUCUAGAUACUAGCAAACUAAUCGAGUCCAUUUUAUAACUAAUAAAGCUAACUGUUAUGUUACUUUAGUUGCAUUUUGUAAGCUCCAUUUGAAAUUGUUGAUUGCUUUUUUUGUAUAGCUGGUCAUACAGUUUCCUGAUAAGCUAGAUUUCGAUUGCUUUUUUAUGUCCAAAUAUUUUCAUAUUACGUGGAAUAUCCAAGAAACUAGAUUUACAAAAAAAGAAGCAAAACUCAUGAAGUAGUUGUACAAAAAUAAUAAAAGAAAUGAAGUUAAAUAUAUGGUUUAUCAAGUUUUAGGAUGGUUUUCUAAAAACCACCCGUGUUUGCACACGGGUCUUACUACUAGUUUAUGAUAAUAAAACAAUAAGAAACUAUUAUAA